AAGUGUGGCCAAUUUCCAAUCACAUCUGAGCCUGGAGGUUAAGUAGGAUUGAGCCUGCUUAGGACUUGGAUGAGAGACCACUUGGGAAUAUCAGAUGCCACAGUGA
rnacentral:rRNA from 1 species